UUGACGGAGAGUUUGAUCCUGGCUCAGGACGAACGCUGGCGGCGGGCCUAACACAUGCAAGUCGAACGAACUCGACCUUCGGGUCAUAUAGUGAGUGGCGAACGGGUGAGUAACACGUGAGAAACCUGCCCCGAAGACUGGAACAACCCGAGGAAACUCGGGCUAAUACCGGAUCCCCCCAUCGGAUCGCAUGGUCUGAUGAGGAAAUGCUCCGGCGCUUCGGGAGGGUCUCGCGGCCUAUCAGCUAGUUGGUGAGGUAACGGCUCACCAAGGCAACGACGGGUAGCUGGUCUGAGAGGACGAUCAGCCACACUGGGACUGAGACACGGCCCAGACUCCUACGGGAGGCAGCAGUG
rnacentral:rRNA from 1 species